GAUGAAGAACGUAGCGAAAUGCGAUAAGUAGUGUGAAUUGCAGAAUUCAGUGAAUCAUCGAAUCUUUGAACGCACAUUGCGCCCUUCGGUAUUCCGUCGGGCAUGCCUGUUCGAGCGUCAUUUAAACCUUCAAGCUAAGCUUGGUGUUGGGUGACUGUCCGCCUCACGGCGGACUCGCCUCAAAAUUAUUGGCGGCCGGUACAUUGGCUUCGAGCGCAGCAGAAACGCGAACUCGGGCCCGUCGUAUUGGCUCCCAGAAGCUAUCUUCACAAUUUUGACCUCGGAUCAGGCAGGGAUACCCGCUGAACUUAAGCAUAUCAAUAAGCGGAGGA
rnacentral:misc_RNA from 1 species